UUCACAAUCCACUGCCUUGAUCCACUUGGCUACAUCCGCCCCUCUACUUUAGAAAGAUUUAGAGUUAAUAUUAGAAAAAUUUAUAUUAAAUUAAAAAUUUAUUGACUUUUUAUUUACGAAUUCACUUUUUCAAUUUGAAUUUUUUUAGAAAUUGUAAAACAAAACAUGGAAUUUGAAUCAUUUUUAUCUUCUUUCUUUUUCUAUAAUGGAAAGAAAAAGUCUAGAUAAGUCUAAUACUACUAGAAAAAAUAGAAAAGGAUUCCUAAUUGAAAAGAAAAUGAAGGAGCAAUAAACCCCCUUUUGAUAGAACAAGAAAGGGUUUAUUGCUCCUUAUAUUUAUCUAUUCUAUUUUCAAAAACUCCUACACACUAAGAACAAGUCUUAGCCAUUUGUUGGAGCUUCGAUAGCAGCUAGGUCUAGAGGGAAAUUAUGAGCAUUAC
rnacentral:misc_RNA from 1 species